rnacentral:lncRNA from 1 species
UAGUAUGUUCCAUCCUGCAUCGUUUUUUUAACUUAGGUUGGAUUAACAAUUGCUUAGGCAGGUUGAUUGGAUGGCUUAAAUUCCAUCACCGGGGUAUAGCUUCUUGUUCUGUCUGUUCUGCUCUGUUCUAAAAGUGUGGAAGGCGAGGAUACUUAACUGGUUUUAUUGUUUUAUGUUGAUGUUUUUAGUAAACUAAUUCUGCAGUUACAUACUACAUGGAUUCAUUUACAAAAUGAAGAAGACCAGAUGCAGAAAGUCACAAAUUUCUCAUCAGGAUGCCUUCCUCUUUUUUUACACCUUGACUUUAAUCUUUUUUCUUUUUUUUUUUGAGAAAAGGUAGCAUGCUACCGCUUCAUUCAAAUAGAACUUUAACUAGGCUACAAGCUGAGGCAACUAGGCCUCGACGACGAAAAAAAAAAAAAAAAAAAAAAAAAAAANAAGUGUUUUUGAGAGAGUGUAUGUCCAUCGCCAAGAAGCUCACCGAACGUUUAGACUUCUCAAAAAUUCUUUUAUUUCUCUCCAGCCAAAUGACCCACCAAGUAGAUGCAAUUGUCGCUAGCUCCCUCUUUCUAAGUGCUCCUCACCUUGACUUUAAUCUUGUUGGCCUAUUAAAGUACAGUUCAUCAGUUUGUUCAUUGUUAAUUCUUACAUAUUGUUGACUUUUGAUGAUGCAGCAUUUUUGCCUUAU